rnacentral:rRNA from 1 species
GACGUAGGGCGCGAGCGUUGUCCGGAUUUAUUGGGCGUAAAGCGCGUGUAGGCGGUUUGUCGCGUCGAAUGUGAAAACCCGGGGCUCAACCCCGGGCCUGCAUUCGAUACGGGCAGACUAGAGUUCGGUAGGGGAGUCUGGAAUUCCUGGUGUAGCGGUGAAAUGCGCAGAUAUCAGGAGGAACACCGAUGGCGAAGGCAGCUCGCUGGGACGGUACUGACGCUGAGGCGCGAAAGCGUGGGGAGCAAACAGG